rnacentral:lncRNA from 1 species
UAUUUACAAGAAUGCCACUAGUAUAAAAAGUCAACAACCAUUCUCAUUUCGGAACAGUCUCCGGCGGACCUCCGGCGAGAUUUCCAGCGGACCUCCGGCGAGGUUUUCGGCCGACCUCCGGCGAGAUUUCCGACUGACCUCCGACGAGAUUUCCGACUGACCUCCGGCGAGGUUUCCGGCCGACCUCCGACGAUGACAAAAAUUACUACUACCAGCUAAAAAAGCUACUACCACCAGCUAUAAAAGCUACUACCACCGCCUACAAAAGCUACUACAAAAGUUUCCGGCCGACCUCCGGCGAGGUUUCCGACCGACCUCCGGUGAGGUUUCCGACCGACCUCCGGUGAGGUUUCCGGCCGACCUCCGACGAUGACAAAAAUUACUACUACAAGCUAAAAAAGCUACUACCACCAGCUAUAAAAGCUACUACCACCGCCUACAAAAGCUACUACUGUGAGGUUUCUGAUGAAAACAAAAGCUACUACCACAAGCUACAAAAGCUACUACCACCGCCUACAAAAGCUACUACUGUGAGGUUUUCGACGAACACAAAACUACUACCACCAGCGACAAAAGCUACUACCACCAGCUACAAAAGCUACUACCACCGCCUACAAAAGCUACUACUGUGAGGUUUCCGAUGAACACAAAAGCUACUACCACCAGCCACAAAAAAUACUACCACCGCCUACAAAAACUACUACUGUGAGGUUUUCGACGAACACAAAAACUACUACCACCAGCCACAAAAGCUACUACCACCGCCUACAAAAGCUACUACCACAGCCUACAAAAGCUACUACUGUGAGCUUUUCGACGAACACAAAAAAUACUACCACCAGCCACAAAAGCUACUACCACCAUCUACAAAAACUAUUACCACCGUCUACAAAAGCUACUACGUCCAUUGAUUCAUCAAAUUACACAACUAAAUUAGCAGUCAGUGAUGCGUGAUCAAGAUUGAACAAGAAUAGAAAU